rnacentral:rRNA from 1 species
AUGGAGACGCGAGCGCAUCCGCGCACGAGGGUACUCCCGGCUGCCGCUUCGGCACUGGCUCCAAACGGGUAUCCCUUCUUCGCGCUGUUCUUUUACUGCGGGCUCUGCCCGCCCUUCUCUGAAUUCUUCUGUGAUAUCAUGAACACCUACGGGUUUCGCCUCCUUGACUUCACCCCCAAUGUUGUCCUGACCAUGGCCGUUUUCGCACAUCUCUGCGAAAAUUUUGUCGGAAUCCACCCAAACGUAGCUCUUUUCCACCACUUCUUUAUGCCUCGUGUCGAGAGAGGAGAGCCUCUUGCCGGCGGAAUCGCUUGGAUCUCGAGAGUCGGCAAGAAGGAAGCAUAUCUAGAAGGUGAGCUCCGCAGCAAGUGGGAGGAGUGGAGAGCGGAGUGGUGCUGGAUCGUCUAG